rnacentral:rRNA from 1 species
GACGAACGCUGGCGGCGCGCUUAACACAUGCAAGUCGAACGGAAAGGCCUGCUUUCCCUUGUGGAUUGCGGGUACUCGAGUGGCGAACGGGUGAGUAACACGUGAGUGAUCUGCCCCCAACUUGGGUAUAAGCCUGGGAAACUGGGUCUAAUUCCCGAUAGGACUGCAGGGUGGUGCCUGUGGUGGAAAACGAUUUUCUAGUGGUUGGGGAUGAGCUCGCGGCCUAUCAGCUUGUUGGUGGGGUAAUGGCCUACCAAGGCGGCGACGGGUAGCCGGCCUGAGAGGGUGGACGGCGACAUUGGGACUGGGAUACGGCCCAGACUCCUACGGGAGGCAGCAGGGGGGAAUAUUGCACAAUGGGCGGAAGCCUGAUGCAGCGACGCCGCGUGGGGGAUGACGGCCUUCGGGUUGUAAACUCCUUUCGACCGCGAGGAAGCCACCUGGUUGGAAGGGUGGUGACGGUAGUGGUAGAAGAAGCACCGGCUAACUACGUG